CAGCUCCCUUGAUCGGUAGCCUACAUCUCCACCAGUCGGCGUCCUCCAUGUUCAAGUAUUAGUCUCCUUCCCAUCUGUGACCGCCUGAACUCGAAAAGAAACCCACAUAUCUCUUUCGUGUAUGGAUUUUUCCCUAGCCACCGUCUCCCUCAUGCUCUUGUGAACUCUGAAUGGAUGAAGCAUCGAUCUCCGACCGGCACCCUGACACCAUCUACAGUGUUUCCACCGACUUCUCCGCCUCCGACUACAACACACACAUCUCAGCCUCUCCGGAUACAACGCACCGGCUUCGUUUUUUUGCGUCUGAUCAUCGAUUUCCAGAAAAUGUAAAACGAAUUUUAUCAUCGAUUUAGUUUUCUUAAUCAAUCGAUUUUUUUUCUUUCAUCUGUAAAUCAUCUGUUAAUUUCAAAAUCAGUUCCAGUUUGUUCUUGAUUUACAAAUUGAUCAAAUUGGUUGAAGGUUUGGAGAUGGUGUUUGAGACUAGAGGGGAAGAAGAGAUUCUGCUUGUUGUGCAAGCCAUUAUUUGCAUUCGAUUAUUCUCAAUUUCAAAAUUAACCACCUGCAUCUCCCUCUUUACAUCAGUUCAACACAAUCGUACAAUGUUGCCUGAAGCCACCGAUGCCGCCUGAAGCCACCACCAUCCACACUUCUCCCUCCUCCCUCGUACCCCGGAUCCACCCUCGUUUGCAUUCUCGCUCUCUCUCUCACAUCGUAUAACUGGAGUAAAUUGGGAACUUAAAAUCUGAUAUGCAUUAUUUUCUCAGAUUCACAUUUGAGAUAGGCGGGGCCUGCCGAAGAUCUCAUCACGAUUGCAGGAGAUUAAAACUUCUUACGAGACUAACAUCAACAAACAAUUAUCAGAAGUGCAUACCAACAAUAACAUAAGUGUUUGAUUCCAUUUUGCCUAGUGAGAUCAAAGAGGAUGUGUUCUUGUUGACCGGAUUAAAGCCUCUCGGAGGCCAAAAUAGACCAAGGGCCAUUCAGAGACAACAUGAUGUGGUUAUUGGUGAUGGUUGUAGGACAGUAGGAGAUUAAUGAUGUUGGAGGUUAACGAGAAGGUAGAGGAAAACGAAAGGGUAUGGGUGAGUGGGGUUGGUUGUUGGUGUUUAUCCAUCAUCAACCCUAAGAGGAGUUCAAAGGCAUUCGAGACAUCAUCAUCAUCAUUGAACAACCCAAGAGCAUCCCCUCUCAAACGAAAUCCAACCUAAUCAUUCCAUUCAACAAACAACUUAUAACCAAUACCAUAAAUUAUUUUUACAUGGAGAUUAUUUAAUAGGUUUGAUGUUAUGGGAAUGGUGGCAAAUUACUUAAUCCUUGAUUGACCAGGAGUGAAGACGACUUGAGGUCUUGACUACUUUACACCCCACCCAGUGAUUCAAGGUUUUACUUGGAAUGUUUUUUUUUUUCUGUAUUUAGACAGUCACUGUUGUGAAACAUUAUUCCAUGUUUUGGUUUGUAUUAAAACUGAAAUUCGUUA